CAGAGGGUAAAGGAGGAUGAAGAUUGUGGGAUUGCACAAUAUAUAUGCAAAAAAUGUCACACAAGUCUUUCCCAAGAGCAAAGGAUGCAAGUUACCAUGAAAAGUACUGUGAAGAGAGCAUGUGUAACAUAUGCAGCAAGAAAUUCUUGAACCGACUGGCUUUAAAAAGACAUAUGGCUAUUCAUGAAGGAAAGUACAAAUGCCAAACAUGCCAAAAAUCAUUUUCUGGACAAAAUUCACUGAAACGUCAUGUCAAAGUACACACUGCAUGGCACACAAAAAAAAGAAUUUGCCUGUCGUUUGUGUGAUGCAAAAUUCACAACCAAAUCAAACAUUAUAAGGCAUGUUAAAAGCCACUUCUAAUUUAUUUAGUACAAACAACACUAUAAUAUAAUUGUGUCACUAUCUCAAAGUUAUUAAAUUAAUAUACAGGGCCGUAGGAAGCUCUUUUCGAUUGGGGGGGCUGAAAGCGAGGGCCGAAGGCCCGAGGAAAUUUUUAAAUUUAGAGUCUCUAAAAUGCCAUUUCCUGGACUUUGGG